CUUUUAGAACAUCCACAUGCUAAUACUGGUCUAAAUGUUGCAAGGAUUCAAUAUGUUAGACACUAGAUACUGGAUCAUCUGAAUGCUGACCGCAGAGAUUAUCGGAAGAAAAUGGGCAUUAGAGUCUGUUUCAUCGUCAUCACCGACUAAUAUUUCUUCAUUGGGGGACUGUUAUAAUUCAUUAUCAUUACAAAAUUUGAUGAAACGUCUGUUGUGCUAUCCUCGUGUGGUUCUCUGGGUACUGGAGUUUGCUGUAGCUGAAGUGCACAUUCCAACAGACAAACAAGAAUUACUAUACCCUACAAAGUUGCCCAGCACAAGCACAACCUAACAAGAACCCACCAGUCCUAGCCUCCUGCCACUGCUACACGUGCCAUCUUUUCAAGCAUCCCACCUCCAAAAUGUACUUUUAUACCACCCAGCUAGGACAAUCUGUCCUCUAACGGAGCCUUUUAUCAUGCCUAAAAGGCUGAACCAUCAUCACCUCCAACAAAAUAUUUACUUUAUCAUGUGUUUUCUGUCCUUUUUCCCCUGAUUUUGUAC
rnacentral:misc_RNA from 1 species